AUGCACCGGAGCACCACCCAGCGCCCGGGCCAGCGCCGCGGCGCCCGCCGGGCUGUCGCCAAGCCCGACCGCCUCAGCGCCCUCCCGGACGAGCUCCUGCAUUACAUCAUGUCAUUCUUGAAGGCGUGGGAGGUGGUCCGCACCUGCGUGCUCGCGCGGCGGUGGCGCCAUCUCUGGGCGUCCGUGCCCUGCGUCGAUCUCCGCGUGCGCCCCUCCACUGGCCGCUACGGCGACCCGCCUGAGAAGUUCCGCGACUUCGUGCACCGGCUCUUCCUCCUCCGGGACGAAUCGGCGCCCGUGGUCAUGCUCCGCCUGCGGUCGAGCGACGAAGAAGCGGGCUUCACCGAUGACGACGCCAGCGCGUGGAUGACGGCCGCCAUCAAGCGCAACGCGCGGGUUAUCCAUCUCACCGGGCGUUGCUCAGAGAUCGCGUCAUUGGACCGCGUGUCGUUCAUCUCUUGCCACCUCAAGGUCUUGAAGCUGUCGUAUGCCAUGCUCGACUACAGGAUCCUCGGGCAGCUUUCUUCUAGUUGCACGUCUUUGGAAGUACUAGGUCUGAAGGAUUGCUUGGUGGCGGGCCCUAGGAUUGUGUCCGCCUCUUUGAAGACUUUAAUCAUGCUCGAAUGCGAGAUUAGUUGCGCCUUCUCCAUUGCUGCUCCGAACCUCCUACUUCUGCACCUCAUCACACCUUACGUCCGAGUCCCAUCAUUCAAGAAUUUGGGAUCACUUGUCACAGCUACUAUCAUACUUGAUGACUCUUUCUUGGGUGAUGACAAUGAAUGCAUCAGUGAUGAAGAUUAUUGUGAUGGAACUACUGAUGACGACGGGGAUGAUAGCGACAAUAAUGAUUGGACAGAGAGCUCGAAGAUUCAUGAUGAGUCUUCCUUGAGUGAUGGUGUUGGAUAUGAUGAUUUUAUAAGGUUUGGAUAUGGACAUGGUUUUGCUGAAGGAAUUUACAGGCAUGAUCGUUACAAGGAUAAUUAUUAUUAUGGUGAUGAGAAUACCUAUGCAUACAGUGAGAUUGCAAAUGAUGCAAAGUAUGGCUACAAAGGUAAAGACCUGAUUUCCAGUAAAGACAGUAUCUAUGAUGGAUAUACAGAAUGCAAUGAUGGGAAGAUUUUAGGUGGCCGUCAUAUUCUUCAAAGUCUUUCAAGUGCUAGAACUUUGGAGUUGUUGACUGAUGCUGGAGAGGUAUAG
rnacentral:rRNA from 1 species